AACAGGGAUUGCCCUAGUAACGGCGAGUGAAGCGGCAACAGCUCAAAUUUGAAAUCUGGCUCUUUCAGAGUCCGAGUUGUAAUUUGCAGAGGGCGCUUUGGCUUUGGCAGCGGUCCAAGUUCCUUGGAACAGGACGUCACAGAGGGUGAGAAUCCCGUACGUGGUCGCUAGCUAUUGCCGUGUAAAGCCCCUUCGACGAGUCGAGUUGUUUGGGAAUGCAGCUCUAAAUGGGAGGUAAAUUUCUUCUAAAGCUAAAUAUUGGCCAGAGACCGAUAGCGCACAAGUAGAGUGAUCGAAAGAUGAAAAGCACUUUGGAAAGAGAGUCAAACAGCACGUGAAAUUGUUGAAAGGGAAGCGCUUGCAGCCAGACUUGCUUGCAGUUGCUCAUCCGGGCUUUUGCCCGGUGCACUCUUCUGCAGGCAGGCCAGCAUCAGUUUGGGCGGUGGGAUAAAGGUCUCUGACACGUUCCUUCCUUCGGGUUGGCCAUAUAGGGGAGACGUCAUACCACCAGCCUGGACUGAGGUCCGCGCAUCUGCUAGGAUGCUGGCGUAAUGGCUGUAAGCGGCCCGUCUUGAAACACGGACCAAGGAGUCUAACAUCUAUGCGAGUGUUUGGGUGUCAAGCCCGAGCGCGUAAUGAAAGUGAACGGAGGUGGGAACCCGCAAGGGCGCACCAUCGACCGAUCCUGAAGUUUACGGAAGGAUUUGAGUAAGAGCAUGGCUGUUGGGACCCGAAAGAUGGUGAACUAUGCUUGAAUAGGGUGAAGCCAGAGGAAACUCUGGUGGAGGCUCGCAGCGGUUCUGACGUGCAAAUCGAUCGUCAAAUUUGGGCAUAGGGGCGAAAGACUAAUCGAACUAUCUAGUAGCUGGUUCCUGCC
rnacentral:rRNA from 1 species